GAUGAACGCUGGCGGCGUGCCUAAUACAUGCAAGUCGAGCGAACGGACGAGAAGCUUGCUUCUCUGAUGUUAGCGGCGGACGGGUGAGUAACACGUGGAUAACCUCCCUAUAAGACUGGGAUAACUUCGGGAAACCGGAGCUAAUACCGGAUAAUAUUUUGCACCGCAUGGUUCAAAAGUGAAAGACGGUCUUGCUGUCACUUAUAGAUGGAUCCGCGCUGCAUUAGCUGGUUGGUAAGGUAACGGCUUACCAAGGCAACGAUGCAUAGCCGACCUGAGGGGGUGAUAGCCCACACGGGAAGGGAGACACGGUCAAGACUCCUACGGGAGGCAGCAGUAGGGAAUCUUCCGCAAUGGGCGAAAGCCUGACGGAGCAACGCCGCGUGAGUGAUGAAGGUCUUCGGAUCGUAAAACUCUGUUAUUAGGGAAGAACAUAUGUGUAAGUAAAUGUGCACAUCGUGACGGUACCUAAUCAGAAAGCCACGGCUAACUACGUG
rnacentral:rRNA from 1 species